UACUCCAUUCAAUGAGCAUGGAUGUAGGAGACAGAAAAGCAAAUGCUGGCCAGGCCUGGACAGGGUGAAUAGAACUCCCUUAUUGGUCUUACUGUCCCUUAAACGGACAACCUGAAACACUAAACCCUCUCUGUUUCUCUUGGAUAUGGCCCUGUCUGGCAGAGCCCCCUCAACCCUUCUCCAGCUCCUGACCAAAAUUAUACCAGCUUCCUGCUGAAAGCCUUCCAGUUCCCGGGCUUCUGACCAAAAGACUCUUAAAACCUUGCCCUGUGACCAGCGCAAAGCCUGAUGGGAUGCAACUGAGAGUGAUGGACAAGGGAUGGAGGGUGACUCACAGGUGUUGUGUCUGAGCAUCAGAGAUGACAGCCCCACUGUGGUGAACAUGGAGGUCAUAUCUCCUGGCAAGCUCAGCCCCAGAUCAUCUUUUCCCAGCUGCCACAACGAGAGGGGAGACAAUGGGAGGUCCCACCAGCCUUCCGGUCCCCCCAGCCCUGUACCCUGCCUGCUCUUCUCCUCUUCUGCCCCCCCACAUACACACCCCACCAGGCUGUCCUAAGUCUGGUCAACUCCCCAUCUCCCUUCAAAUGUGCAGACCUCUUUGGGUCUCUUGUGCCCAUCUAUGAAAUGGGCUCAGUAAAUCUCACCCUGAUAACUUUGGGCUGUUGCGAAAAGUCAGAUGAGCCAACGGUACAACAGGCACACAGUAAAUGUCCAUAGGGACCUCCUUACAGUCCUCAGGAGUCCCUCCUCUCAGGGCAUCCAGAAUUAGAGGGCAACGGUCAGCCCCAGGAAGAUGCUCCAAAGGCACACACUUGAAACAGAGUGGAGGUGUCACCUGUGGGAGGGGCACAUUCUUACCACCCACAAAGCCAACAUCAUGAAAACUUCCUAGCCCUCAAACUGAGAAAGCCUUGCAGACUCAGGUAGGAAACAAGUCCACACAUCAGCUCAGCCAGCCAUGGCAGGAGUGCAAGGGAGCAGCCAGGGAGGUGGGUUCAGCUCAGGCAGACCUCAAUGGUUGCUGUGUGACAAAGGAUAUUCCUUCUUGUCUGGUCUGGAGCCUCUCCAGUGCUCAGAACAAAGGGAUGUGACCAGGAAUGAGUACCUUCUUUCCCCCUCUGGGCUCCAUCCUGAUAUCACAACCUACAGGGAACCUGACCAUAAAAAUCCCAGGAGAUCAGCUGGAAAAGUGACUCAAGUCAGCCCACACAGCCCAGGGCACUGGGUUUUCAUCUUGUAUCUCCAGAGCAUGCAAAUAGAGCAAGUCUUGUGGGCUGAUGGAGGAACCCCAAAGGUGAGGGUAGCCUGGGACAGCGUACCCUCACGCCCCUGUUCUCUGAGUCAAUUGAAUGUUGAAAAUCUGAAAGCUGCAAUUUCUCAUUGCUACAUCCUCCCCACCACAGGGAACACAUGCCCUGGGUCACUGCCACUGAACUCUGAAGCCUGACCAUAAAUAAUUAAAAUGAAAUUACAGUUGUCAAAAUAAAUUAGCAGGGAACCAGGAGCCUUGCCAUGCUGUGA